AACAAAAGGAAAGGAGCUCGGUCAUUAUAUCGUAUAGCCCGGGAAACUGUGACUGCUUUUGUAGAAUGUGCCAUUCACCCUGGGAUCAAAAUGUGAUUAUUUUUUUUUACUGUUGUGAUUGCUAUAACUUUUCAUUGCUUUAACAUAGGUACUGAGGCAGUUUCAUCCUGAUGAUACCCAUGAGAGAUGACAAAAACCCAGGAAGAUUGGCUGAAGAUAUUGGGUCUUUCUGCUUAGAUUAAAA